AUUGAACGCUGGCGGCAGGCCUAACACAUGCAAGUCGAGCGAGAGGCGGACGGGAGAGUAAUGACUGGGCAACUGACUGAUGGAUGGGGACAACUACUGGACACGGUAGCUAAUACCGUACACCAUCAGAUGUGUCCAGGUGGGAGUAGCUAGUAGGUGGGGUAACGGCGGUCCUAGGCGACGAUCCCCAGCUGGUCGGAGAGGAUGACCAGUCAACAGGGAACUGAGACACGGUCCAGACUCCGACGGGAGGCAGCAGUGGGGAAUAUUGCAAAAUGGGCGCAAGCCGGAUGCAGCCAUGCCGCGUGUGUGAAGAAGGCCGUCGGGUUGUAAAGUACUUUCAGCGGGGAGGCGUUACCCGCAGAAGAAGCACCGGCUAACUCCGUGCCAGCAGCCGCGGUAAUAC
rnacentral:rRNA from 1 species